rnacentral:rRNA from 1 species
CGUAGCGGGUGGACCUCGAGAGGGACUUCGGGCGGGCGUGCUUCUUGUGGUCGGGCAGGAGGAGCGGCCGAAGGCUGAAGGUGAGCAGCCGCUUGAGGGCCAACUGCGCGCGGGUGUCGAGGCCCAUGGCCAACACGCGGCGGUGCCCCAGGAGGGGGCUCACCUCGGCGCGCAGGUCGCCCUCCGGGAGGGGCUUCAGCCGGUAGGUCGGCGAGUGCGGAAGCAGGCGGUAGGGCGCGUCCUACGGGAACUUGGUCCUCGAGCGGAGGCCCAACCACUUCAGGUCGUACCGGUGCAGCUUGCGGCACAACCCGUAGUACAUACCGAGCGGCCGGAGCAGGGAGUGGUCCUAGGGGUCGAGGAACCGGAGGAGCAUGUCUGGCCUGGACGUCGGUCUUUCGCCUCUGGCCCUGCAGCACCAGAACGUCGACGGAGGUGUGUGCCGCCUGCCGGAGGCACGGCGGGACGUACGGCUGCUGGCGCGGCCUCCACUAGGUAGACCCUUCUUGGCCGCCGGCAGGCCAGCUG